rnacentral:rRNA from 1 species
CCAAGCUACUAAGAGCCAACGGUGGAUGCCUUGGCACCGAAUGCCGAUGAAGGUCGUGAGAGGCUGCGAUAAGCCGCGGGGAGCUGCCGACUGAGCGUCGAUCCGCGGAUGACCGAAUGGGGAAACCCGGCACCCGUCAUGGGGUGUCACGGCCGCCUGAACACAUAGGGCGGCUCGAGGGAACCGGGUGAACUGAAACAUCUCAGUAACCCGAGGAAAGGAAAGCAACAGCGACUCCCUGAGUAGCGGCGAGCGAAACGGGAAGAGCCUAAACCGAUGUGGUGGAAAGCCUGGCGGCGUUGCCACAUCGGGGUCGUGGGAACCGACAGAACGAGCGCCAGAUCGUUCACGGAGUUACAAAGCUGGUGGGUAGUGGAAGCGUUCUGGAAAGGCGCGCCACAGUGGGUAACAGCCCCGUACACGAAACUCAUCCAGCCUCCGGUCGUGUCUCCCGAGUAGCGCCGGAUCCGGGAAAGCCGGCGUGAAUCUGCGAGGACCACCUCGUAAGGCUAAGUACAAAUCGGUGACCGAUAGCGAACUAGUACCGUGAGGGAAAGGUGAAAAGUACCCCGGGAGGGGAGUGAAAUAGUACCUGAAACCGUUGGUUUACAAUCAGUCAGAGUGUCGUCGUCGUCUUCGGACGGCGGCCACGAUGGCGUGCCUUUUGAAGAAUGAGCCUGCGAGUUACGGUAGGUGGCGAGGUUAACCCGUGAGGGGAAGCCGGAGCGAAAGCGAGUCUGAACAGGGCGUACAGUCGCUUGCCGUAGACCCGAAGCCGAGUGAUCUAGCCAUGGGCAGUGUGAAGCGGGGGUAAGACCCCGUGGAGGCGCGAACCGACGUCGGUUGAAAACGGCGCGGAUGACCUGUGGUUAGGGGUGAAAGGCCAAUCAAACUCGGUGAUAGCUGGUUCUCCGCGAAAUGCAUUUAGGUGCAGCGUCGCAUGUUCAGCCAUGGAGGUAGAGCACUGGAUGGGUUAGGGGGCCCACAAGCUUACCGACCCCAACCAAACUCCGAAUGCCAUGGCUCCAGAGUGCGGCAGUGAGUCCUCGGGGGAUGAGCUUCGAUGGACGAGAGGGAAACAGCCCAGACCGCCGGCUAAGGCCCCUAAUUCUGUACUAAGUGGUAAACGAUGUGGGAUUGCACAGACAGCCAGGAGGUUGGCUUAGAAGCAGCCACCCUUGAAAGAGUGCGUAACAGCUCACUGGUCGAGUGAUCCUGCGCGGAUAAUGUAACGGGGCUCAAGUACAGAGCCGAAGCCGCGGAUGCCUCGUAAGAGGUGUGGUAGCGGAGCGUCGAUCUCGGAGCGAAGCGGCGGUGUGAACCGUCGUGGACCGUGGUCGAGUGCGAAUGCAGGCAUGAGUAGCGAAAGAGGGGUGAGAAACCCCUCCGCCGGAUGUCCAAGGGUUCCUGGGGAAGGCUAAUCCGCCCAGGGUGAGUCGGGAGCUAAGGCGAGGCCGACAGGCGUAGUCGAUGCACAACCGGUUGAUAUUCCGGUACCACCACGUGCGCGCCCCUGCCGAGACGUCGUUGCUAAGGGGAUGUCCUGACCUUCGGGUCAGGAACGAUCCGACCCACGACGUGGAGGCAAGCAAAGCGGGGACGCAGGAGGGUAGGUGAGCCCAGGCGAUGGUUGUCCUGGGGUAAGCGUGUAGGGAGGGGACCAGGUAAGUCCGGGCCCCAUACAUCCUGAGACGCGACGCCGAGCCGCAACAGGCGAAGUCACUGAUCCCAUGCUGCCAAGAAAAGCCGCUAGCGAGCUCACGUGGUGCCCGUACCCCAAACCGACACAGGUGGACAGGUAGAGAAUACCAAGGCGAUUGGGUGAACCGUGGUUAAGGAACUCGGCAAAUUGCGUCCGUAACUUCGGGAGAAGGACGGCUCCAUCAGGGUGACGGCCCUCGCGGCCCGAGCUCGAAGGAGUGGCACAGACCAGAGGGGAGCGACUGUUUACUAAAAACACAGCAGCGUGCGAAGCCGCAAGGCGCUGUAUACGCUGUGACGCCUGCCCGGUGCCGGAAGGUUACGGGGAAGGGUUAGCCGCAAGGCGAAGCUCUGAACCUAAGCCCCGGUAAACGGCGGCCGUAACUAUAACGGUCCUAAGGUAGCGAAAUUCCUUGUCGGGUAAGUUCCGACCUGCACGAAUGGCGUAACGACUUCCC